GGGAAGGCUUCUCCAUCAGCUUGGAUGAAUAAAGUUUUGAAGCCAUUGGAGCCUCCUGCAGAUGUGUCUACAGGGAAGACUUCUCCAGCUUCUCCAGCUGCUACCUUGGAUGCUGCACUCAAGCCCAGCUCCCAUCUCAGGGGUGAGUAGUGUGUCCCUGCUGACCCCACAGGCUGAGCCCUGCUUUUCUGGGAUCCAUUCCUGGGAAAUGGAACUAUUUUUCUCUAAGGUACUCCAACAGGGAAAAUCCAAGAUACAACAGAUAAGAUAUCCCUGGAACCAUCCAAACAGAUGAGGCAAGAGCUGAAGGAAUGUCUGCAGAGAAGACAAGAGAUGGACAUAGUGCUUCAGUGGAAGGUGGUAUUUCUUGAAGGAAGCACUCCAUCUUCGGUGCCAGCCCCUGCUGCAGGAAGGAAG